CGUCAGGAUCCCUGGCGCCGCCUGAGCCAGCGGCUGCUAGGAGGCUGUGUCCGCAAGCCAGCGGGGCGAGGCACCUGGGGCCUGCGCGUCAGGUCCCGGCCUGGGGCACCGGGGCUGCCAGCGUCGGAGGAGGCCUGAGACCUGGGAGGAAGCUGGAGAAAAGAUGCCCUCUGAAUCUUUGUGUUUGGCUGCCCAGGCUCGCCUUGACACCGAAUGGUUGAAAACAGAUAUACAGAUGAUAGUGUCGAACCAAGUGAAACAAAGAAAGAAGAUCUGAAUGACAAAGAGAAAAAAGAUGAAGACGAAACUCCUGCACCUGUAUAUAGGGCCAAGUCAAUUCUGGAGACCUGGGCGUGGGGCAAGCAACCAGGUAAUCUUCUGAGUUUUGGCACUUUGGAAAGCUUGAUCUGACGCUCCUUUUCUAAAUAACUUGGAUGGAUUAUUU
rnacentral:lncRNA from 1 species